CUUAAAAUCUUACUUUUGAAAUUUUCCCAAAUAUAUUUUAGGGCUCAAUAUCCAAAACCAAUCUUUGCUUUGCACCCCUGACCUUGUCGCCCAGCCAAAAGAUUUCAUUAUUUAACAGUCAAGUUCAGCAUCGAAACUUUCACUUGGAGCUUCCUCGUUUUAUGAAACAUCACCACUGCUGUUUCGUUUCCGUGCUUACAAUUCAGUUUACAAUUGAAGUCCAGUUUUGAGCUCCAUUUUACAAAAAAAUCAUUUUUUUCAAACUUAUUUUUAAUCAAUUUUUUUUUUCCUUUUUUAACAAUAGAAUAAUUUUAUACGUAAAUUCAUUUUUUAUAAAACCUAUUCUCUGCUUUAAGACAUGUUUUCCCAUAAAAUAGGCUGAAACAAUACGGGAAAUCUGAAACAACUAAUGUUUCGCCUACCUACUGUUCGAUGAAAUGUCCCCGAAACCAUUCUAAACACAUAACCCUUAUUUAUAGUUGUUACUGCUAAAAAAUGGCAGCUCUAUUCCUCAGAAGAGUCACCACCUUUAAGGCAAUAGCGAAUUGUCAUUCUUUUUCAAGGCAGUGUAUUUCAUUUUCUUCGACAAGAACCCCGACAUUUAUUGGCAAUGAUAAGAGAGACUCUGUUACCAACUACAAUGAUAGGCUUCAUCUUUCACCGUUGUUCUCGGAUAAUAAGAAUGAAGUAUGUGUAAAAGACUGCGGAAUUGAACUCGUGGAUGAUGAGACAUGGCAAGUGUCCUCGGUUAUAGCUGAUCUAUGGAGAGGGAAUGAUGAGAGGAAAGCGUGGGAAAAAAAGCCUUUUUCUGAUGAUCAAGAUGAUGACUAUAAUGGGGUUGUCAAGUUUGUGGCUUUAAAUAAGGGGAGCCCUGAUUUUGAUGAGAUUGAGGAUAUGAGGAUUCGUGGGUCUUUGUUUUACAAGCUUGACAAGAAUUCCAAAGAGUAUGAUGAAUAUAAAUUUGAUUUCCACGGGAGGAAAAAUUCAAAGAAUCAGAUUGAUAGGAAAGAAAACAAAAAGAACAAGGAGAAAGAUGAUCGAAGUUGCACGUUGGUGUCCAAGGUUGAGAAAACUUCAAAGAAGAAUGAGCCAAAAGAAAUCAAGCAAAAUAAUAAAGUGGAGAGAUCAAAGGGAAUGGAUAAGAAUGAGCAGAAAGAAAUCAAGAAAAAUAAAGUGAAUAAAGUAGAGAGAUUACAGGGAAUUGAAAAGAAUGAGCAUUUGAUUUCUCGUCUUCAUGAAAUGGGAGAUUCUUUUGUUGGAAAGAUGCAACGGACUCUCACUUUCAAUCAGUUAACGGCUCCUUACCAUGAACCAUUUUGCUUGGAUAUUUAUAUAUCCAAGGGUUCUGUGCGUGCUAGCGUUAUUCAUCGUGUUACUAGCAAAGUUGUGGUAGUGGCGCAUUCUAUUUCCAAGGACAUGAAAUUUGAUUUGGGUUCGACUAAGAAUAGAAAUGCUUGUGCUGUGGUUGGGGAAGUGUUGGCUCAGAGGGCCUUGGCUGAUGAUAUCCAUAAUGUGGUUUAUACUCCAAGGAAAGGGGAGAAAUUGGAAGGGAAGCUUCAGAUUGUACUUGAGUCCAUAAUUGAUAAUGGAAUCAACGUGAAGGUGAAGCUUAAGCAGAGAAAAUCCAGAGGAACCAGAGGCCCUGCACUCUGAACUCAGCACUAACACUGAAUGUCAAGGCUUUUGUUGGGUUAAAAAUGUGUUUUGCCAUAUAGGCUAUACUGGAUUUGAAAAUAGGUUAUGAAUAUGUCCUCGGUAAUAAAUUUUAAAGCAGACCGAGCAUACUGAUUGCUUGUGGGAACUACUAUGAAGUGCCUGUCUUUUAUGGCUAAGUUUCUUGCAUUGCUGCUGUAGUAUUUUACAUGCCGGCUCUUCGGAUUACUGUAUGUUAGCUACUUGAACUAUGUUUUAGGAAAAUAAUCAUUUGAUAUAUUCUAGGCAUGGUUUUAUGGUGUGCGAGAAAUGCAGACAAGGAUUAUUAUGCAUUUGAUUCAUCAACAUUCGUUAUAUGAAAGAAUCUGAAGUAGAAGUUUUGUUUAUCCUCUUUAAGGUCAAAUUUGUCCUGAUUGGUAGCAUUCUCCUUUGCAUCAUUUACAUUCAGGUGGAGAUUGUAAACUCAUAUUAUGCGUAUUAUGAUGCGACCAAUAAUAUUAAAGUCUUCGUUUCGAAGUCCUUUUUCUGGUAGCUAGAACCAAGUAUAAAAGUCCAAAUAUUUAACAAGGCUGUGAAGCAAUUAUAGUCGACCAAAGAAUCUAUAAUGAGGUACUUACCAUUGUAAGCAAAGAACGGCUGGGUUUGUUGCAUGUGCUGUCUACUCUGCUUUUAAUUGUGUUGACUGGGCAGCUUCAAGAUCAACCUAUUGAAAACCUUAUAUUCCUUGAGAAGGUUCUACCAUGUGGAAAUGCUCUUUAAUGGAACUUUAACUGUAACCGUCGUGACCAGAAAACCACCGGUUAAGAGAAAUAUACAUCAUGAACUUUUGGUUUCGGAUACUGUAAUUUUUUAUAUGAAGGGGAAAGUGAAGGAAUACCAAGAAUUGGCCCUGUGCAAAAGAACAAUCUACGAAGCUGGGGAUUACCUAGGAAACCUGUUCAAGAUCCAGAGAAACAGAUGGGGAAGUAAGGAUUAGAUGAGUUUCAUCGCUUUUCACAAGGUUCAAACACAAUGCUGUGCAAUAGGCUGUCAACAAAUGAGUCUCAAUGAAUGUUGAAUGAAAGAGCAUUCUUUUGAUCUGAAAUUCUAGCAAACCUCUGGUUGUGGUGCAUUCUAUUUCCAAGGCCAUGGGUUCGACUAAGAAUAGAAAUGCUUGUGCUGCGGUUGGGGAAUUGUUGGCUCAGAGGGCCUUCGCUGAUGAUAUCCAUAAUGUGGUUUAUAUUCCAAGGAAAGGGGAGAAAUUGGAAGGGAAGCUUCAGAUUGUACUCAAGUCCAUAAUUGAUAAAUGGAAUUGAUGUGAAGUUGAAACUUGAGCAGAGAAAAUCCAGAAAAACCAGAGCCUUGCCCUGAGAACUCAGCAGUAAUACUGCGUGUUAUGGCCUUCAUUGAGAUACAAAAUGUGGUUAGCCAUAUACUGGAUUUAUGGGCUCUGAUAAUGUCCUAGGAUCUAAAUUUUGAAGAAGACCGAGUUUAUUUAUCACUUGCGGGAGCUACUCUGAAGUGCUUGCUGUCUGCAUCAAUAUCAAAUGGAGUCAGUGAGUACAUUUUUGAUACGAUCAUAUUUAUUCACUGAACAUAAGUGUUGAAUGCUUUGUUAGCAUACUUCCACAUGGAUAUGGAGAAGUGUCUACUUUUUAAUUGUUAGUCACCUCUGAACUCACAUUGUGUCCAAUUACUGUUAUACAUGCAUGGAUGAAUUACUGUUCAUUAACAUUUGACCAUACUGCCAAAUUUGUUAAAUGACCUUAUAUGUCUACAUUCAACUCUGAGAAGUAGUAUUGAACCCGUAAUAAUAGAUAGAUACCAGCCAUGAACAAUGCAUUUAUUCAAUACAUG
rnacentral:lncRNA from 1 species